rnacentral:lncRNA from 1 species
AUGUAAAAGAUACUAUUUCUGUUUCUGGUAUGGACAGCAAUUCACUUCUGGCCAUAAAUAAUUGAAUGGAAUAUUUCUCUGUUCAACCUACAGUCUAUCAGAUACAAUAUUGAGUGAGCAUAUAACCCAAAUACAGUCAAACAUUACUGAAACUUAUAUAUAUGCUCAGACCCAAAUACUGAAAUCCAUACCCUCUGUGUAAAACAUGAGCAUCCUCAAGUGGCUGGAAAUUGAAUCGACUAGCUAGAUAAAGCACUGAAAAGGGAAAGUAGCAAAGUACUGAAAAUCAGAAUGGAAUUUCCAUGUUGCCAAUUUCUUUUCACAAAAUCAGAUUCUACUUUGAAUCAGCAUCUAGAUUAGCCAGAUAGUAACAAAAGAACAAAGAGAAAAAGAAGAUCAAAGAGGAGAGACAGAGACCAGAGAAUGAAGAUAAAGUCAUUCUUUUCUUAAUCACCUCCAACUCAUUGCAAAGCAAACAAAUUACAUGAUAGGUGUAAGUGAUGCAUGCCCAGCAGCCCACCUAAGUAAAGUAAACUAGCUAGCUUCUCUAGUAUGCAUCUCUUACAUCCCAUGUUUUAUAACAUCAAACAUACUUAAGAAAAAAGGAGCAAGUAAUUAACAUAACAAAAAAAAACCUGAAAAUUAAAAGCAGAAAGACCUCAAGAGUUAAGUAAUUAAGUACAUGAAAGAAAGUGAAAGACCAUAGUGAUAAGGUUAAGGUAAAUUCGGACCGCUACCCUCAAUUCCCCGCAAUGCAAUAGCGCCGCUCUCCAAACUCUUCCUCUCCCACUUUUGUGGUGGUGGCUAGACGUUCAGGAGAGCGCGCGCAAUUGCAAAGCCUUGUUUAGUAUGUUGUCUUUGCAAUCAGCUCCCUUCUCCUGGUCGCCGCCAGCCGCCAGCCACCACCACCUUCAUCAUCUCCAUUGCCAACGAAGUAGCCCAGGAAUCCCCACUGGUGGUGGCUGGCCAUCAUCAUAUGAUUGUACAAUGAUGAAUGAUAUGAUUGAGCUGAAAAUGUAAUGUGCUAGCUCAGCUGAGCUAGCAAGAAAGAGAGAAAGGAAGGAAGAGUAGUUUGAAAU